UACAGAGGGUGCAAGCGUUAAUCGGAAUCACUGGGCGUAAAGCGUGCGUAGACGGUUAUGUAAGUCGGGUGUGAAAGCCCCGGGCUCAACCUGGGAAUUGCAUUCGAGACUGCAUAGCUAGGGUGCGGAAGAGGGAAGCGGAAUUUCCGGUGUAGCGGUGAAAUGCGUAGAUAUCGGAAGGAACACCAGUGGCGAAAGCGGCUUCCUGGUCCAGCACCGACGUUCAGGCACGAAAGCGUGGGGAGCAAACAGG
rnacentral:rRNA from 1 species